AUUGAACGCUGGCGGCAGGCCUAACACAUGCAAGUCGAGCGAGCGGCGGACGGGUGAGUAAUGCCUGGGAAUUGCCCAGUCGAGGGGGAUAACAGCUGGAAACGACCGCUAAUACCGCAUACGUUUGGAUUGGCCAGGUGGGAUUAGCUACUUGGUGAGGUAAUGGCUCACCAAGGCGACGAUCCAUAGCUGGUCUGAGAGGAUGAUCAGCCACACUGGGACUGAGACACGGCCCAGACUCCUACGGGAGGCAGCAGUGGGGAAUAUUGGACAAUGGGGGAAACCCUGAUGCAGCCAUGCCGCGUGUGUGAUGAAGGCCUUCGGGUUGUAAAGCACUUUCGGCAGGGAGGCGUUACCUGCAGAAGAAGCACCGGCUAACUCCGUGCCAGCAGCCGCGGUAAUAC
rnacentral:rRNA from 1 species